rnacentral:rRNA from 1 species
GAUGAACGCUGGCGGCGUGCUUAACACAUGCAAGUCGAACGAUGAAGCCCAGCUUGCUGGGUGGAUUAGUGGCGAACGGGUGAGUAACACGUGAGUAACCUGCCCUUGACUCUGGGAUAAGCGCUGGAAACGGCGUCUAAUACCGGAUACGAGCUUCCACCGCAUGGUGAGUUGCUGGAAAGAAUUUCGGUCAAGGAUGGACUCGCGGCCUAUCAGGUAGUUGGUGAGGUAACGGCUCACCAAGCCGACGACGGGUAGCCGGCCUGAGAGGGUGACCGGCCACACUGGGACUGAGACACGGCCCAGACGCCUACGGGAGGCAGCAGUGGGGAAUAUUGCACAAUGGGCGCAAGCCUGAUGCAGCAACGCCGCGUGAGGGACGAAGGCCUUCGGGUCGUAAACCUCUUUUAGCAGGGAAGAAGCGAAAGUGACGGUACCUGCAGAAAAAGCACCGGCUAACUACGUG